UACAGAGGGUGCGAGCGUUGUUCGGAAUUAUUGGGCGUAAAGGGCGCGUAGGCGGUGCGGUAAGUCACCUGUGAAAUCUCCUGGCUCAACUGGGAGCUUGCAGGCGAAACUGCCGUGCUGGAGUGUGGGAGAGGUGCGUGGAAUUCCUGGUGUAGCGGUGAAAAUGCGUAGAUAUCAAGAGGAACACCAGUGGCGAAGGCGAGUCCCUGGACGAUACCUGACACUGAGGCACGAAAGCCCAAGGGAGCAAACAGG
rnacentral:rRNA from 1 species